CUUUUGUUUGUGUGGAACAACGGGACUCCACCUUCUCCACUCUACUUUCUCCUUCCACAGUUCCAUACCCAUUUGAUCAUUUCUUUCUUCUUCAGUCUAUUUCAUUUCUAUCCUCUUUCUCUAUAUUUUCAAUUUCAAUUCUUUCUCUUUUUCCUUGCAUUCACGCUACUUGCUUUAAGUUUUCCUUUUGGUCAUUUACAAUUAGAGGUUUGAAAUGGCGAAUUCUGCUCAUUCUUAUUCUCUAUGCACGUAGAUUAUGCUCCUGAGGAUCAAUUCAUGUGUAAGGAGGCUUGGCUUAUGUGACAAAGAAUGUUCGAGUUCCGGAGGUAGAAUAUCAAGCAGAUCAAACCAGUAGAAAGGGUUGAUUUCAGAUUCUCCAAUUUUUAAGCCGCCCUUUAGGUACCUUCAUUUCAUGGUUGCAUACAAAAUGACCAACAACAUCAAAGAAAAUAUAAAAGAAGAUAUGAUACCUAUGAAGCUGCGAAAUCCCCCUUGAUGGAGCUGGUAAGAAGGUGCUGCAGAGAUGCUACCUGGCGAUAUUGAAAACUAAAGUGGCAGCAUAACAAUAUUGCCGACUCCCUAAUCUUCAAGAAUGAAAGGAACAUUAAUGGUGAUGUGUGGGCCUUGGGAAUCAAAUAUGUACAAGGAGUUCAAUGACCAUCCAAACUUGCAGGUGUAGUUGGCAUUUGUGUCAGCCUUGGUCUUUUUGGCCUGUGUCUGUUUCUUCCCAUUCCAUUGGUCAAUCUUGUGGCAUUUCUUCAAACUAAGAUGAAGCGAGGAUAUUUAAACCUGAAACUUUUUAGUGGCUCCCCUUGGCAUGCAGGUGAUUCCAAAGAUUGUGAUAUCAGUAGAAUUUGAAUGAUAGGUUGUAAAAACAGAAUGUUCCUAAUAGAUUCAUUCAGCAUCUUUUUCUUUGGGUUCUUUUUUGGUUGCAAGUUGUCACCAGUUGUGCUAGAUUUGAUUUCUUUUCUUUUGUUGAUGGUUUGGUAUUGCACUUCGAUUGAAGAUGCUUUUGGUUGA